rnacentral:snRNA from 1 species
AUCUGUUCUUAUCAGUUUAAUAUUUGUUAUGUCCUUUAUUUGAGGACUAUAUAUUAAAUUGAUUUUUGAAACAGGGGGAUGGAAUAGGCACUUGCUUUGUCCACCCCAUGCAUUGACCUGGUAUUGCAGAGCCUCCAGGACUGGUAG